AAAAUAAAAUAUUUUUUUUGGUAAGUGUUAAAAUAAUUGUUAGUAACUUAGGAGUUAGUAGAUUAAGUGUUGGAAGAGUAAAACAAAAACAAAAAAGGGUUGGAAGAAAAUCUAAAAUCUAAAAUUCCUCUCCAACAGAGAAGAAAACCUAAUCUCUGUGAAGAAAACAGCAAAUCGCUCUUGUUCCUCGUCUCAACGCCACCACUCUCUCCUCCUCUCAACUUAAUCGCUCUCUUCUUGGAACUCGUUCUUCCUUUUCGAGAUCUCGUUCAUCUGUGCUUGUCUUCAAUCAAGUUCCACCAAAAUCCUAAUUCCAGAUCCAUUACCACGCUGAAAGUUGCUGUUGGAAAUGGGCAGUGGCGGCGAGGAGGAAUUGGCUGAGCAGGGUUUGUAUGACUGUAAGAUUAGGCAAAUCUUCUGUCCUAGUUUAUGGAAUGAAAGGAACAAUAGCUGAAAUAAAGCUAUACCUUGUCUAUAUGAGUUGAAAGAAAAACUGUACAAAUCUAAUCGGAAUGAGAAAGUUUUUAAGUUCUUAUUCUUGCUAAACAGUUGAUCUGGGAUUCUGUUUUGAGCAUCUGUUUUGUGCUGGUGGUUUUUGGGCUUGUUUGGCUAAUCUGUUGUUAUGCUUGAGGCAUUUCAUAUUUUUUGGCCUACAUUUAUCUGCGACUAAGGCAACUGAUUAUAAAAGGAUUGCUGCAAGCUAUGCAAAUAUAGAUACGGAUUUAAUGGAUUUAGAUGAAGUAAUAUUUGAUGAUUUUGGAAUGUAGAAAAUUAUUUAAAGUAUGAAAUUUUGUAGCCACCUUCAAGUUAUUAGAACUUCAACCUUUUGGAUGUAUUGAUAAAACUUUGAUAUUUUGUUAUUGAGAUACUUAUGUUUCUGAUGGAAUGAUUGAUGUUUGCAAACAGUUUGUAGUUUGGGGUGAAUUUUUGUUAUGUGAGAUACUUAUGUUUAUAUGGAAUGAUUGAUGUUUGCAAACAGUCUGUAGUUUGGGAUGAAUUUUUUAAACUAAUAAAAGCAUUAAUAGGUGGAAAAAUUAUAAAUAAAACCAGUCACCCAUAAUUUAUC